CACGUAGGGGCCAAGCGUUGUCCGGAUUCAUUGGGCGUAAAGAGCUCGUAGGCGGUUCAGUCAGUCGGGUGUGAAAUCUCCGGGCUCAACCCGGAGGGGCCACCCGAUACUGCUGGACUUGAGUUCGGUAGGGGAGUGGGGAAUUCCUGGUGUAGCGGUGAAAUGCGCAGAUAUCAGGAGGAACACCGGUGGCGAAGGCGCCGCUCUGGGCCGAAACUGACGCUGAGACGACGAAGCGUGGGGAGCAAACAGG
rnacentral:rRNA from 1 species